GUGAUUGGUCGGUGGUCCAGGAAGUAGGGACUUUCUGACUGGCUGAGUUAAAUUGAAGCUAGAGAACUAGUCUCACCUCCCCCAAGAGGUAGGGAAGCGUAGGUGGGUUCUGGGGUUCACAAAAUGAUCCUGUUUUGGGUAGUUUGUUCGCUUGGCGAUACUGGAAGCUGAAUCCAAGGGGUGUUUUGCACAGAGCUAGCUCUCCAAUCUUUUUUUUUUUUUUUUUUUUCUUUUGGAGACAAAAUCUCACUAAAUCGCUGAAUUACCCAGGCUGAGCGCGAAUUUGCGAUUCUCCAGCUUCAGCCUCCCAAGAUGCUGGAAUUACGGCUUGGGCCACGGAACCCGGCGGUUGGUUGGUUUCAUACAACCUUCGCUAGCAUUAAGAGAUAACUGAGAACGGGACGAGGAAAGAGAAAGGACAGCAGCAUAAAAGAGCGCUGAAUUCCAAGGCGGGAAAAGCAGUGCUACGGUACCGGAACAAGCGCGUUAAACAGACAUACACAAAAUACAGCCAGCUAGUAGAAAUUGAGCUCCAGAUCCCCCGCAAACAUUCUGGUGACUGCGGAUGUGUCUUUAGUUCUGUGAAGCUAUCAGCAGGACUUUAUCCUUGAGAAUUAUCCUCUGGGAUUACGGUUCAGUGGUGACUACGUCUUCUUCUACAGACUGUUGAUACCCAACUUUCUAUUCGUGUUGUUACAUAAAGCGUAAUCAAUAUUUUGUUUGUUCGUUCGUUUGCUUCCAAUACUAGAAAGCGAGCCCAGGUGCUCUGCCCCGAGUUACAUCCCUGACCCUUUUUUUAAAAUAGGGGUUCACUACCCAGUCUGGGCUCAAACUUGCGAUUGUGCGAGCGCGGGUGUGCCAGGGAGGUGCCACCAUACUGGGUCACAUAACGUUUAAUUGAAAUUCAUGCUCUGCGCCUUCACUUCUCUACAGUUCCUUAAUUUCAACUGUUCUAAGUAUAUCCAAGUUGUUGUGGGAAAAAAACUAUCAUUGCAAGUUAAGAGCCCACCCUUUUAUCAAAACCAAAAAAAAAAUUUUUUUUUACCUUUUUUUUUAGCCACCUUUUAUCUCUUUCCUGUCUGUCACAUUUUGUUCCUUUUUCCACAUCUCCUGAGCCAAAGUUUCCCCUUCUGGUUCCCCUCAAUUUAAAGCAAUGUUUGUCAAGCACAUGUUUCCCAAGCUGCUGCUGGGAAAUAAUAAAUAAAUACAAACCACA